GUGGAUCUUCCCCCCCACACUGAGAAGGGGAAGGGGGAAAAAAAGGGGAAAAAGGGGCUCUUCCCACAAAACUCAUGCUGUCUGCGGCUGGCUGUGGCCAGGAUUUUCCCCCUUUUGUUGAUGGACAGAAGCCACUGCCAACACAGGAGCGGAGAAGGGAAAGGGCGACCUCCUCCCCAAAAGGUUUCUCUGCAGAUUUCUUAUUUGACUGGAGAGAUUGUGCAAUAGUGACCUCCUAGUUAACACAGUAUGGAGAACUUGCCCUGAUGCUCCUGGGCUACUGGAACCAGGUUUAGAGUUCUGUAACAAUGUAAAAGAUGUUUCUAAACUCAUCAAACAAGUCUGUGAAUACCAAGUAACCUUUGCUUUUAAUCUUAAGAG